GUGGGGAAUAUUGCACAAUGGGCGCAAGCCUGAUGCAGCCAUGCCGCGUGAAUGACGAAGGCCUUCGGGUCGUAAAGUUCUUUCGACAGGGAAGAAAAUGCCUAUAAGUAACUGUGUAUGUAUUGACGGUACCUGUAUAAGCAGCCCCGGCUAACUCCGUGCCAGCAGCCGCGGUAAUACGGAGGGGGCGAGCGUUGUUCGGAGUGACUGGGCGUAAAGAGCACGUAGGCGGUGUUGUAAGUCAUUAGUCAAAGACUAGAGCUCAACUUUAGUAAGGCUAGUGAUACUAUAAUACUAGAGUAUCAGAGAGGAUUGCAGAAUUCCUGGUGUAGCGGUGAAAUGCGUAGAUAUCAGGAGGAAUACCGUUAGCGAAGGCGGCAAUCUGGCUGGAAACUGACGCUGAGGUGCGAAAGCGUGGGUAGCAAACAGGAUUAGAUACCCUGGUAGUCC
rnacentral:rRNA from 1 species